CAGCCGCCACGGUAAUACAGAGGAUGCAAGCGUUAUCCGGAAUGAUUGGGCGUAAAGCGUCUGUAGGUGGCUUUUCAAGUCCGCCGUCAAAUCCCAGGGCUCAACCCUGGACAGGCGGUGGAAACUACCAAGCUAGAGUACGGUAGGGGCAGAGGGAAUUUCCGGUGGAGCGGUGAAAUGCGUUGAGAUCGAAAAGAACACCAACGACGAAAGCACUCUGCUGGGUCGACACUGACACUGAGAGACGAAAGCUAGGGGAGCAAAUGGGAUUAGAUACCCCCGUAGUCCCUGUCUCUUAUAA
rnacentral:rRNA from 1 species